UACAGAGGUUGCAAGCGUUGUUCGGAAUUACUGGGCGUAAAGGGCGCGUAGGCGGCCUUCUAAGUCAGACGUGAAAUCCCCCGGCUUAACCUGGGAACUGCGUCUGAUACUGGGAGGCUAGAGUAUGGGAGAGGGAUGUAGAAUUCCAGGUGUAGCGGUGAAAUGCGUAGAUAUCUGGAGGAAUACCGGUGGCGAAGGCGGCAGCCGGGACCAUUACUGACGCUGAGGCGCGAAAGCUAGGGGAGCAAACGGG
rnacentral:rRNA from 1 species